CCUCCCCUUAACCCUUCCUUGCCCAACGUUACUCUAUAAGGAGGGGGAAAGAGCAUCUCUCAAAAGCCCUGGAACCAAAGGACUCAGGAUAAUGGCACAGUGUAACGGCGCUCCAUGCAGUCAUGCCAGCCACAUUACCUUGGAGGUGUCUACGGCCGGCUCUUUGGCUUAGAAAUGGAGAUGAGCACCAACCCCCAGACUCAGACAUGACUGGACUUAACGUCAGGGGAAAACCUUUACCUUUACCUAUCAGUGUAUUAUAGUAACAUCCCACCCCAAGUUGCUCCCCUUAAUCAUCUAUCUUGUUUACAAUAUUCACUCACUGCACUUCACCCAGUUCGUUUUAUUCUAUCUACUUGGGUGCCAAAUCCAUGUUUUUAGUAUGAUUGUCUUAUAUAUAUAUUCUGUAUAUAUAUUAUUAUGUUUAGAUUAUAUAUAUACAGUAGACUCUCACUUAUCCAAGCUAAACGGGCCGGCAGAAGCUUGGAUAAGCGAAUAUCUUGGAUAAUAAGGAGGAAUUAAGAAAAAGCCUAUUAAACAUCAAAUUAGGUUAUGAUUUUACAAAUAAAGCGCCAAAGCACCAUGUUAUACAACAAAAUUGACAGAAAAAGUAGUUCAAUACGCAGUAAUGUUAUGUUGUAAUUACUGUAUUUACGAAUUUAGCACCAAAAUAUCAUGUUAUAUUGAAAACAUUGACUACAAAAAUGGCUUGGAUUAUCCAGAAGCUUGGAUAAGCGAGGCUUGGAAAAGUGAGACUCUACUGUGUGUAUAUAUGUAUGUAUGCAUGUAUGUAUGUGUAUGUAUAUAUAUAUAUGAAGACAAUUAUGUUUAGAGGAGACUCUGGUGGCCUAGGGGAUAAAAGCCUCGUGACUUGAAGGUUGGGUUGCUGACCUGAAGCCUGCCAGGUUUGAAUCCCACCCGGGGAGAGCGCGGAUGAGCUCCCUCUAUCAGCUCCAGCUCCAUGUGGGGACAUGAGAGAAGCCUCUCACAAGGAUGGUAAAAACAUCAAAACAUCCAGGUGUCCCCUGGGCAACGUCCUUGCAGACGGCCAAUUCUCUCACUCCAGAAACAACUCCAGUUGCUCCUGACACGAAAAAAAAAUGUUUAGAGUGCUAAUUUAAUUUUGGUCUGUUUUUUCUGAUGUUAUUUUAUUUUGGUUUGCUGUUUUAUCCUGGCUUGGUCCCAUGUAAGCUGCCCCGAGUCACUUCGGGGAGAGAAGAGGCAGGGUAUAAAAAUAAAAUAUUAUUAUUACAGUAGAGUCUCACUUAUCCAACAUUCUGUAUUAUCCAACGCAUUUUUGUAGUCAAUGUUUUCAAUGCAUUGUGAUAUUUUGGUGCUAAAUUCGUAAAUACAGUAAUUACUACAUAGCAUUAAUGUGUAACGAACUACUUUUUCUGUCAAUUUUGUUGUCUAACAUGAUGUUUUGGUGCUUAAUUUGUAAAAUCAUAACCUAUUUUGAUGUUUAAUAGGCUUUUUCUUAAUCUCUCCUUAUUAUCCAACAUAUUUGCUUAUCCAACGUUCUGCUGGCCUGUUUAUGUUGGAUGAGACUCUACUGUAUUAUUAUUAUUAUUAUUAUUAUUAUUAACCAGUCAGUCCAGGGAGCAGAGCAGAGCAGAUCAUCCAUCUACAACAGAAAGAGAACGUCUCACCCAGGGGCAAUUCUGACUGCUCUCUUUUCCCAAGGAGGAGGAACACAUACUUGGGUGGGGGAUACAACAAAAGCACCCAACACAAGCAGGCUCUUCCUUGUCAACGGCCUUAGAGAAAUCACCUGCUGCAAUAGCUUUUCUCCAAAGCACCCUUCUGCUAAGGCAGGGGAAUCUGAAUUCAGUUUGGUUAGAAGGAUUUCACUGAUUUUCACAUUUCAGUCUUGCAGAUGACUACAAAGGAGGGGCAAAUAUAGUGGAGUAAGUAGAUAUACCCAUCCAGGGCCGGCCCUAGGUAAUUUUCAAGUGUAAGCAAACAGUAUUUUGCCCCCUCCCAAAAAAAACAAUCACUAAAAAAUAAAAGGUAGGUGAACAUAAUAGACAAAAGAGUAACCUUACAAACUAGAAAUUUAUUUACAUCAGUAUGUUCAUAUAGUUAUAUUACAUAGAAUUAACAUAAAUUAACCUUUUUUAGAAUGCAAAUAUUUUAUCAAACUUAUUUUAUUUAUUUAUUUACAGCAUUUUUACACCCCCCCUUCUCACCCGAGGAGACUCAAAGAGGCAAAAAAAUCUGGCAAAAUUCAAUGCCAAUAACAAGUUCAAAAAUAAAGCAUAACACAUUUAAAAUAAUGAAACAUUACUUAAUAGAACAGUAUACAAAACUUAAAACAUAAAUAUUUAAAUCCAUUCAUCCAUGGACCUUGCAUGUAAACUUUAAUUCAGGCCGUGUCGAGUCACAGAACUCAUUCAUUAAAUGCUUUAAAAUAUGGAACGCUUCACGAAUUAGCAACAAUUUUAAGUUCCUGGUCAUGCUGUCUCGUCAGAUUUCUCAGACUUUGGGCUUACUAAUAACAGACAACUAAAUUGCAUGCUUGUUGCGUCUGUCAAUCAGUUUUGUUUUAGAGAAUGCAGCCCCAUGAGAAUAGACACCUUCUUUGUAAGGAAGCAAACUCUUGUCCUUCAGAAGUGCCAUGCCAGCCUGGCCCAUGGCAAUAGGUGUGGCAACAUAGCUAGCCUCUGGCCUCUUCACUUGAGUGGAUAUUUUAACAUCCCGUGUGUCUUAACACAAAUUAACUUGAACACCUUUAAAAUUAAAAAAAGAUUUUUCUAGCUUUCCGUUUUGAAAACUCGCGCACUAGUAAGUCUGUUUCCAUUUCAUCCAACAAGUCUUUUUCAAUGGCCAAGGUUGCUAGUUCACUCACGCGCUCUUGGCCCGAAGAUGAUCUUAAGUAGUUCCUUAUACAUUUUAAUUUUGAAAAACUCAUUUCAUCGCUGGCCAUUGAUACUGGAAGCGUUAACAGAAUUCUCAAUGCAAUAUAAACAUUUGGGAAAGUAUCUACAUAACCACGUUUGGUUAGGAAAGACAAGGCUUCAGCUGGGUUGCUUCCAGGGGGCAGCAUAGGUGCAAAUAUUUGUAGCUCAUCAAACAGAUCAUCACCGUUCACAUCGCAGUCUUCUCCAUCGCUCAAAACGGUUUGAAGAUGUUGACAGUCAUUCUUCAAUUCUGUUUCAUUCAAACUUUUCCCAAGCUUUGAAAUAUCAUACAGAAAUUUGAAACUUUCGCUAUGGUUUUCCAUUAGCUCACAUCUCUCCUUUAAUGAGGAUAUUGCUGUGUCAAGCACAACAAAGAAGAAGUUGACUUUAAAAGAUUCUUUAUCAGAAUGUACAGCUUCAUCUUCACUCUCACUGGAAUGUGCAGCAUCACCUUCACUCUCAUUGGAAUGUGCAGCUUCAUCUUCACUCUCACUUGAAUGUGCAGCUUCAUCUUCACUCUCAUUGUUUACUUCUCUUGGUCGAACUAGCGUUUCUUUUUCAAAGUCAGCAGCAACAUCAAUUUUUUCUGCAAGUUCCUUUGCAUCCUUAAUGACGCUAUUUAGACCUUCAUCAGAUCUCAUCUUUUCUAGAAAUGAUUGUACACUCUUAAUAAGAUUCAUAGAACUUUGAAGAUUAUUUGUGACUUUUUGCAACCGUUUACUCACCAUAUUUAUCUUAUGCAGGAUCUCAUGCCAUGUCACUAAACAGCAUAGAAACUUGAAGCUUUUCAGUUUCUUUAGAAGCGUGAUAGCAGUGUUCCUACCAAAUGCACCAAAUUUCUGCUCUUGAGAAGCUUCAUAUAAGGCAUCAUAUACUUCUUCAAUGUGGAACCUCAAAGGCAACAAUGCCUCGAUUUUACUUUCCCACCUAAUAAUGCAGAGUGGUCUGACUUUGAGAACUGAAACAUGCUUUGACAAAAUACUCCAUCUUUCAGUAGAACUUGAAAAAAAGUUAAAGAUUUCUUGUAUGGUGCUGAAACAGUCUACUGCAACGCUGCAAGACAGAGCUGCAUCAUUUAAGACCAAGUUCAGGGAGUGGUUUCCACAUGGUACAUAAAAGGCUCUCGGAUUUAACUCAAGGAUCCUCUUCUGAACUCCAGAAUGCUUUCCCUUCAUUGCAGAAGCAUUGUCAUAGCCCUGGCCUCUCAUGGUUUUUAAAGGAAUGCCUCGUGUUUCUAACUCUUUGAGUAAAAUUUCUGUGAGGCCUUCACCUGAAGAAUGGGUAACAGGAACAAAGCCUAAAAAAUGUUCCUUAACUGAGACAUCUUCAUUUGCUUCAAUUUUUACGAAUUUUACCACCAACGUCAUUUGUUCGGUGUGGCUAACAUCGGGAAUGCAGUCUAAUCUAAUCGAAUAAUAUUUUGCCUGGUGUAGUUGUUGUAAAAUAUUACCCUGGAUCUUGGCCGACAAGAAACUAACAAACUCGUUCUGGACAUUUUUGCUCAAAUAGUGAACGUGUGUUUCUUUGGAAGCGAUUCUUCUCAGAUGUUCGGCCAUAAAAGCAUCAAACUUUGCUAUAUGUUCUACCAUUUUUAAAAAGUUGCCAUUAUUACGUUCAAAUAGAGCCUCUUUAUUCCCUCGAAAUGCCAAUCCUUGAGUCCCCAAAAACUGUACUACACAUAGUAAGCGUUUCAGAACUUGAUGCCAAUGUCCAGAUUCAGCAUGAACAAGCCUUUCAUGUUCUGCAUCAAUAGUUUUGUUUAAACAUAAACGUGCAGAGAGUUCAUGCCAAGAUGUACAGUUUGUAAUAUGAGUAUGGGAUUUCUCAUGACUGGUCAAAACCUUGCCCAAGUUCUGCCAGUCAGAAUACCCUUUGCUACUAGCAAGAAGAGAAUUAGCAUUUCCAAAAACUUUGCAAGCAAAACAAAAAACUGCAUUUUUCAAUUUAGAAUAUAGUAGCCAAAUCCUGUCGACUUGCUCUCCGUUGCGCAGUUUCCUUGUAUAGUGUUUUGAGGUAAAUCUCCUACCCCUACUGUCCCGAGGAAAAUCUUUGUCAGUGACUUGCUGAGGUCCUCGUUUCACAAGUAUUUUCCGUACCUCAUCAUUUAUUUUAGAUGGCCACUCUCCACAAUCAUCUGAAAUCGAUAAUGGGUCUCUGCUUAGUUCCUGAAAAAAAAAUAAUAUGUAGUGUAUGUUAACUUUUAAAAGAUUUCAAAGGUUUAAUGCAGUGCAGUAUCAAUACCUAUAAUACCUUAUUAUGAAAUCUUUAAUUAAAAAUGGAAAUAAAAUAAACCUUGUGACAGUGGCCAAUCGGAAAGGUAGAUUUUGCAUAUUAAUUAUAAAUGUAAACCAUGAUAAACACAAAUUAUUUUAUAAAAUUAUGGUGGCAGUUCUGAACAGAUUUACUGAAUGUAUAUGUUAAUAAAAUCUACCUAAAAAUAGCUCUGAGAUAUUUUAUAAUAAAGAAUUCUGGAAAAGUGCCCUUUUCAUCCUCCACCUCCAUUCCUCCCUCCUCUCAACAAGAGCUAAACAAACUGGACAGGCCUAGGCCAAUUAUAUUUUCCUAAUAUGUGUACUAAUAAGAUAAAAUUAAAUCUACUUACAGUUUCAAUGGUUUGCGGACUAGAUGGCAGGACUGCAUCUCCUAAUAAAUCAUCAUCCACAUCUUCGGUAUCGGUCCCAGUUAGGUCAAUAAUGGAAGGUGCUAAUGGUGUUGCUGUGGUCACUGUAAGAUGGUCUUGACUUGCUGGUGGUCCAGGUGGAAGAUCAGAUAUUGGUAUCUUGUCGUUAUCGUCAUGAGCUGAUUCAGUCAAUUUAGUUGGCUCUGUGUUUCUUGUUGCACAUGAUGGUGAGGUGGUUUGCAAUGCUUUAGAUUGAUUCUCAUCUUCUUUGCAAUGCUGCAACUUCCUUUUACGAUGAAAUGCUCCUGAUGGCUUUCCUUGCUGGACAUUUUCUGUUAAAAAAACCCAACUCAUCAUAUAAGGAAGGGAGAUGCCACAGAACAGCUUUCAGCUUACAACAACACAGCAGAGAUACAGCCUGCAGCUCCAUCCAAGUACUAACUAUGGCUGAUUCUGCGUAGCUUCCAAAAUCAGAUGGGAGUUGGUACUUUUAGGGUAUUUAGGUCCCAAGAUGUAUAUAUCAGCCCUCUUUUACCAAGAGUAAAAGAAAUACAAAUUAAAACUUUGGAAAACAAGAGUGAAUACAAAGAAACACUAAUUAGCGGGGGGGGGGGACAAUUAACAUUAAUAAUAAUGAUACCCCCAGCUGUCCAUCAUUCAGGCAGCUCCGCCCCCUUCCCUUCCCAGCUGAGCGCUCUUGAGCCCAGUGGCGAUGGCCAGGCCUCAGUGCUGAACGAGAAUGGCUCUCUCUACCUGGGCCAGCUGAGCACCCCCCCCCCCCCCCCAAGUUGCUGGAAGCCAAAGGAAUCACACGUGUUCAUUGAGAAAUGUUAAAUGUAUCAUCUAUAGCACCAACAUGUCCACAACCUGCAAUUCCUCUGUUGUAAUUUAUUUUAUUACUUUUGUCACAGCUCUUUGGGUGGUAUUCCUCCUCUAUGAAUUAUCUGGUGACUCACGAGGGGUGAACUCUGAGUAAAACAUUUCCCACACUCCUAGCAUUGGUAUAGCUGCUCUUGAGUGUGGAAUCUUUUGUGGCUCACCAAGGCUGAACUGUCAGCAAAACAUUUCCCACACUUCUGGCAUUGGUAUGGCUUCUUCCCUGUGUGGAGUCUUUUGUGGCUCACCAAGGCUGAAACAUUUCCCACACUCCUGGCACUGGUAUGGCUUCUCUCCUGUGUCGAGUCUUUUGUGCCUCACCAUGGUUGAACUGUCAAUAAAAUAUUUACCACACUCCUGGCAUUGGUCUGGCUUCUCUCCUGUGUGGAGUCUUUUGUAUUUCACCAAGUGUGAACUGGAAGCAAAACAUUUCCCAUAAUCCUGGCAUUGGUAUGGCUUCUCCCCGGUGUGGAGUCUUUUGUGGUUCAUCAAGGCUAUGUUUCAGGAAUGUUGAAGGGAGAAAGAAGUCAGAAGGAGAUCAGCUGGGCUAGCAGAGAAAACGCUGAGCAAUCAGACCGCGCCCAAGAGACAGGUGGGCUGGGAAACUCAGGGCUAUAAAUCAGCAGCAAAGUCUGGGGCCCAGUGCUGGCUGCAACUGACCUACUUGAGGGGAGUUCUUGUUCCAAGCACCGUUUCUCCGUUCCAGCGUCAGAUCUUGCUUAAGGCUCUUGGCUAUUGACGAUUGUUUUUGCAACCUGUAAGCCUGUUUAUCAAAGACUCUAAUUUCUGUCUGAUGUGAAGACUUCUGUUUUACGUUUGUUUGAAGACCAUGCAUUAUCAUCAGGAUUAUACUUUGUUUCACUUAUUGAAUUAUCUUUAUUUUUGCUGAAAUAAAGCCUUUUUAUUUAUUUUCCCUUGUGUCUGAGGCUGUUUCUGGGGUAAAACCGGACUGUUAGCCUGGUUGGCUGGAAGGAAAAACAAGGUUAAAUAUCACCCACAUAAAAACAUGUAUAGCUCCGUCUGCAGAUCUGAAGCCAGGGGAAGUUUGUUCUUUUUUAUGCUUCACUCUCCGGCCCCACUCUCCAGCCAAUCAAUCUGCGCAAUGACUCUUAAUAGAUUUCCAAGAAGCCCGAGUUACUGGGCAGAAGCAUGUAAGCAGACAUCAGGAGCAAGUCAGCUUUUGCAAAAAAAACUCUUUUCAAUCAUUUUCUGUACUCCUUUUGGCUUCAGAGAUGGCAUGGCUUUCCAAGCCAUCCAAGAGUACACAGGAUGCAAAACCAGCUUGCUGAAAAAGUGUGCCUGCAGUCAGGAGAGGUUUGCUGAGUUACCUUUUGAAAUCUAGUCCCCUUGCCUCCCCUGCCUCUCUUUCUUUCUCAAACACACUCGGAGAGAGAGAGUGAGAUAGUGUGACUGAUCUGGGGUGAUCACUCUUGAGAGGUUUUCCAAGGAGCCCAGUUGCUGCAAGGGACUCCAGUUAUGGAAGUCUUCCCACUGGAGACCAAAUUGGUGCUAACAUUGCUGCUGCUCAGACACCAAGUCAAUAUUACUCUUAAGUCAUAUAUUUCUAACAUAAUCCCUGCCUUGAGAACUCUCAGUGAUUGUGAUGAUUUAGGAUCCUGCUCCCACCAGGGAACUGCUGAUUAGGAUACUGCAAAAUAGAAAUCUCCAUCAAGGAGGGAGCCAUACCAAGACAGUCCAAAAUCCCACGAAUCUCUUCCAUGAUCUGCAUAUGCAAGACUUUCUGAUCAGGAUUCAGGAGAACCCACUCCUCCAGGGAGAAAUUGACAGCCACAUCCUUAAAGGCGAUUGGGCCCUGGUGGAAAAAGAAAAAUAAUCCUUCUCACAUAAGGGCUAUCAAGAAAAAUAAUAACAAGAAAAUCUUUAAAGUAGAUUUUCAUUUCCUGUUGUUUGAAAGAGAAAGGGCUAUCUUCCAUGCCAUAGUUUAAACUUUGUAGAGACAACCAGUUUGCCACCAUAACAUCCAUUUCUUAAUUGAUAUUUAGAAUCAGAAAUGGAAUCUGAUUCUUAAAAUAUACAACUUUUAUUGUGGUGCCCAGAACUGGACACAGUGUUAUUCCAGGUGAGGUCUCACCAAAGCAAAAAGAAGGUCAUCAUGACUUCCCUGAAUGUAGACACUACAUUCCUUUGGAUGCAGCCCAAAAUCCCAUAGGCUUUUAAGCCGCUGCAUCAAACUGUUGGCUCAUGAUCAACUUGUGGUCUACUAACACUUCAAGAUGCCUUUCAUAUUAAUUGUUGUCAAGCCAGGUGUCACCCAUCCUGUAUCUGUGCAUUGUGUAUUUCCUGCCUUAGUGUACUAUCCUACAUUUCCCCUUGUUAGAAAUUAAUUUCGUUAAUUUUCACCCAGCUCUGUUAUCUGAUAAGACCGUUUUGAAUUCUGAUUCUGUGUUCUGGAGUAUUAGCUAUUCCUCCUAGUUUGGUGUCAUCUGGAAAUAUGAUCCGCAUGCCCUGUAAACCUUCAUCCAAGUCAUUAAGAAAGAUGUUGAACAGUACUGAGCCAGGACAGAACCCUGCAGCACCAAGUAGUCAUUUCUUUCAAGGGUGAAGAGGAACCAUUGGUGAGUACCCUUUGGAUUCAGUUACUCAACCAAUUACAAAUCCACCUCACACUUGUAUCAUCAAGGCCAUUUUUACUAGUUGUUUGUAAGACCAUGGGAGGCCUUGCCAAAGGCCUUAAAGAAGUCAAGAUGUGCUACAUCCACUAAUUAAUAAUAAUAAUAAUAAUAAUAAUAAUAAUAAUAAUAAUAAUAAUAAUAAUACUUAAGGGACUUGGGGUGGCUCACAAAAAGCACUCCAAAGUGCAGCACACAUAAAAUACACACUACAUAAGCAUAUAAAACAAUGACAACAUAAAUUUACACAACACUUUCACCUACAAACGUCACAUAAAUUCCAUAAAAUGCAGCAGUACCUCAAGAUAAAAAUGAUUGUCUUCCAGUAUCAAUCUAAACUGCUGGAGUGAAGCAAUCACUAAGUUCUCAAGUCUACAUUCCCUUCCUCUACUAAGCUUGUAACAAGGUACAGGAAAAACCAUAAUCAGAACAUGGGAAUCCAAACAUGAACAUGAAUCCAAAACCAAGACCGUAGAAAUGUCUUAAAAGCAUGAAUCCAAACUCCCAAGAUCUUAGACUAAAACAUGAACUUGAAGCAAAACUCAAGAUCCUCACUGCUAUGCAGUGUUGCCUGAUUUGAAUUCUAAAGGAAACAAUUCCCUGAUUUAAGGUCUGCAAGCCAUGAAGUCAUACCUGUGACCUUGACUCCCUUGCCUGUGAUAUUUUUCACACUGUUGUUUCUCACGGUGUCUUUGUGACUUCCUUAUUUUGUUUGCUUCUUCCCUAAUAUGAAGCCUAAGAUUCCUGCUGACUGCAGGUGUAUUUUCAUGAGAACUUUCUCGCCCAUCCUUAUCUGGGGUUGCUAUGAGACAACCAGACGAAAAGCUUUUGCCAGUCACUGCAUCUCCCUCGUUGCUGGCCUCUGACGCAGUUUUACUUUCAAGCCCAUUCUCAGAGACAGGAUCUAUACUCCCCUCAUUUCCCACAUUGAAAAAUCCAUCCAGUCAUCUUCAUCAUCUGGAGCUGCUGCAACAGGGGGAUUGUCCGCUCCUUGUCUCCAGCCCCAGUGAGCAACCUGGGAGAAGCUCUUUGGACCAGCUGAAGUUUCUGAGCACUCUUCAGAGGCAGUCCCACAUAGAGUGCAUUACAGUAAUCCAGAUGUGAUGUAACUAAGGCACAUACCACCAUUGCCAGAUCUGGCUUCUCAAGGAAAGGGCGCAGUUGGCGCAUAAGUGUACAAAGGCCCUCCUGGCCACCUUCAACACCUGGAACUCCAGGUUCAGCGCCAAGUCCAGGAGAACCCCCAAACUGAACCUGUGUCUUCAGGAGGGAAUGUGACUCCAUACAGCACAGGCUGGAUUCCUAUUUGCUAAUCUGCCUUUUGAUUGACCAGGAGUACCAGUGUCAUAUCUGGAAUAGGUUUCAAAUUGUUUUCCUUCAUCCAGUAAAUUACUGAUGGCAGCCAACUGGUUUAGGGUCAGGAUAGCUUCCUUGGCUUUAGGUGGAAAAGAGUUAGAGUUGGGUAUCAUCUGAAUAUAGGUGACACUGCACGCCAAAACUCUGGAUGACUGUUCCCAGUGGUUUCAUGUAUAUGUUGAACAGCAUGGGGGACAAAACCGAGCCUGUGGAACCCCACAAAUUAACAGCCAGGGGUUCGAAAAGGAGUCCCGCAGCACCACCUUCUGGGUAUGGCCCUCCAGAAAGGACUGGAGCCCAUCCUAAUAAGACAACCCAAAAGGAGUCCAUGGUCAAUAGUAUCGAAAGCUGCUGAGAAAUCCAGGAGAAGCAACAGAGAAACACACCCCACCCCCCUCUAGCUCUCUGCAGAGGUCAUCCACCAAGGAGACCAAAGCUGUCUCUGUUCCAUGGCCAGGCCUAAAACCAGACUAAACCUCUUGAGAUGGACCAUCUUAAUUGGUCCCCCACCCCUGCAGAGGUUUGGAUUCCCAGAGAGUCUAAACCUGACCAUGUAGUGAUGAGUCCACAACAAUGGAACUAUAAUCAUGUUCCUCCACACUAUCAUCACCACCAAUCCAUUCUGCACAGAAAACAAGGUCCAAAGUGUCUCCAGCAGCAUGGAUAGGGCAAGACACCACCUGGGACAGACCCAUGGUUGUCAUGGAGGCCAUGAAGUCAUGAGCCAUUCCUGAAAGGGCGGUCUCUGCAUGGACAUUGAAGUCUCCCAGCACGAUUUGCCACUGAGACCCCAACUCCAAUCCCGAGACCAUCCCGGCUAACUCAGGAAGGGACACUGUUGAGCAAACCCUACUGUUUGCUCUUUUUUUCUCCUUCUACUGACACAACCAAAGAACCCCCUUUUACUGUUUUUAAUUUCUCUGGAAAGCCUGGGCUCAUUUUCUGCUUUGGCUUGUGAGACCUUUUCCCUAUUUAUGCUAGUUAGUCAUUUGAAUUCUUUUUUGGUAAUUCCUACCCCCCCCCCACCCUUUUCAAUUUCUUCUACACCUCUCUUUUAAGUCUUAGCUCAGCUGAAAGAUCUUUGGACAUUUAUUCUGGUUUCUUUAGAUAUCUCUUAUUUUUCCCCUCUUGUUGGCGCUAUUUACAAUUGUGUCUUCCGUAUCUCACUUUUAAGAAACUCCCAUUCUAUCUUUUCUGUUGCAAGAGAUGUUCGAUGACUGUGCCUGGAAUCAAUGACAGGCCGCUCCAGUCCUUCUCUCCCAGGAAUCCCUCCGCUUACCUGAUUCAGUUCCACUCCAUUUGUUGACAACAUCAUUCCAGUCCCUGGAAGAGAGAGCAAGGAGGAAGCCUUCCGCCAGGGCCACCGCCUGGGAAGAGGUCUCUGCCCCACACUCUCGGACCCAGCUCCCCAUCUCUGGGGGCAGGAUGCUCAGGAACUGCUCCAGGAUCACCAGGUCCAGCAUCUCAGCCUUGGUGUGUUGCUCUGGCUUCAGCCACUGGCGGCAGAGAUCGUGGAGGUGGCUGCAAACCUCUCUGGGUCCCUCACCCUCUUGGUAGAAGGACUGUCUGAAGAGCUGGCGCUGUAUGUGCGCAUUUAGCAAUGUCUGCGUAGUUCUUUCCCCGGAUUCCCCACUGCUCUCGUGGGCCCUGCCUGCUUCAGGUCCAGGUGAGUUGGGUCUCUCCAUGUUGGAACCACCCUCAGGUCCAGGUGAAUUGGAUCUCUCCAUGUUGGAACCACCCUCAAGUCCAGGCGAAUUGGGUUUCUCCAUGUUGGAACCACCCUCAAGUCCAGGUGAAUUGGAUCUCUCCAUGUUGGAACCACCCUCAAGUCCAGGCGAAUUGGGUUUCUCCAUGUUGGAACCACCCUCAGGUCCAGGUGAGUUGGGUCUCUCCAUGUUGGAACCACCCUCAGGUCCAGGUGAAUUGAGUCUCUCCAUGUUGGAACCACUUUUGAUGAAGAACUGAACCUUAUCCAAGAUACUUUUCCUCCCUCUUCAUUCAAGGAAAAGAAACCCCUGAGCAGGCUCUACUCCAAAAUUCUCAGCCAAUAAUCACAUUUCCUCUGUGAAAGAAAGCUAGAAUUAGGCAACAGGCUUCAGGAGGUUAUUUCUUGGAGAGUAAAAAAAAGCCCUUUAUUUAUUUCAGAAUAAACUAAUACUGGGCCCUCUUUUCACUCCAGCUUCCAGACCCACUUGGUUUCACUUGGCCUUUCAUUAAACUUCCAUUCAGUCCCUAUCCACACUAUCCCCCCAUGAUUCCUUCAGCUGAUGCCACAUGAUCUUUAGCCUUUCUUGUAAAGAAAACUAACUUAACACUCGAUUAAAUGAUAUUUCCAGUAGACUACAAGACAGACAAAAACAAAAAGACUUCAACAGUGACAUGAUUUCAUUAUAAUCAACUUCAGACAACAAAAGGGGGAGAAAAGAAUCGGGAGAAUCAAUGGAUCCAGUUGCUAUGGACAAAAAACAAACCAAUUGGGAAGCUGCAUCAAUUUCUUCUGAAAUAUUUUACGAUUAGUGAAGAAAUAAAAGAACCCAUGAUUCAGUUGGUGAAAAAUGUAGGCCGUGCAAAAAGUCUAGGAGAAUGGAAAGAACUCUGGAAAGAAUGACUACAAUUUACAAGGAGUUAAACCAUCAAAUAAAAUUUUAACAAAAUGAUAUAUAGAUGGUACAGAACUCCAGAAAAACCCUCAAAGAUAUAGAAAAGAUCCAACAUAUGUUGGGAAUGCAAACAAAUAACUGGAACUUUCUAUCAUUUGUGGUGGACUUGUCCAAAAACUAAAGAAUUCUGGAUAAAAAUCCAUAAAGACAUGGAAACUACACUAGAGCACAAAAUCCUAUUAAAACUAGAACUUUUUCUACUGGGAUUAUUAGACAAACAGACAUUGAAACAUCAAGAAAGUCUUUCUUUAUAUGACUACAGAAACAAUAACAGAUGUGGACCAAACUUGGCACACAGACCUAACACUGCCAACUUUGCAUAGUGAUAACUUUGGGGUGAUUGACCUUGGCAUCAGAAUUAUAGUUCACCAAUAUUCAGAGAACACUGAACCCACCAAGUGACGGAUCUAGACCACACUUGGCACACAGACCCAAUAUGGCUAACUGUGAAUAGUGCCAGGGUUUGCUGGUGAUUUACCUUGGCAUCAGAGACUUAUAGUUCACCCGUAUUCAGAGAAGACUAAAUCCAGCAGAUGAGGGAUCUCGACCAAGCUAGGCACACAGACCCAACAUGGCCAAGUGUGAAUACUGUCUGGGUUUGGGGAUGAUUGCCCUGGGAAUCUGGGAGUUGUAGCUCACCCUUAUUCAGAGAGCACUGAACCCAGCUGAUGAUGGAUCUGGACCAAACUUAAAUGGUACUACCCAACAUGCCAAAACAAUAAAUGCCUUCUUCUAAUAACCUGGGCACCACCGGGUCCCCAAGCUAGUUAGAAUAUAAAAAGGUGGCAAGCCUUGUUAUUUAGCUAUUUUAGAACGAUGCACAUAUAUAUACAAAUACAGUAGUGUCUCACUUAUCCAACAUAAACGGGCCGGCAGAAUGUUGGAUAAGUGAAUAUGUUGGGUAAUAAGGAGGCAUUAAGGAAAAGCCUAUUAAAUAUCAAAUUAGGUUAUGAUUUUACAAAUGAAGCAUCAAAACAUCAUGUUAGACAACAAAUUUGGCAGAAAAAGUAGUUCAAUACGCAGUAAUGCUAUGUAGUAAUUACUGUAUUUAUGAAUUUAGCACCAAAGUAUCACGAUAUAUUGAAAACAUUGAUUACAAAAAUGCGUUGGAUAAUCCAGAACAUUGGAUAAGCGAGUGUUGGAUAAGUGAGACUCUACUGUACAUGUUUAUGUAGUGUUUAAAUACAAGAAGAAAAGAUGACAAUGCAACAUAGUUAAUUCUCAACCACACAAUGCUCAUUUACUAACAAAUGGAACUGAUUUUAAAUCUAUAUGGCAAUACAAUAGAGUCUCACUUAUCAGACAUUCGCUUAUUCAACGUUCUGGAUUAUCCAACGCAGUCUGCCUUUCAGUAGUCAAUGUUUUUGUAGUCAAUGUUUUCAAUACAUUGUGAUGUUUUGGUACUAAAUUCGUAAAUACAGUAAUUACUACAUAACAUUACUGCAUAUUGAACUACUUUUUCUGUCAAAUGUUGUAUAACAUGAUGUUUUGGUGCUAAAUUUGUAAUAUCACAACCUAAUUUGAUGUUUAAUAGGCUUUUCCUUAAUCCCUCCUUAUUAUCCAAGAUAUUUGCUUGUCCAAGGUUCUGCUGGCCCGUUUAGCUUGGAUAAGUGAGACUCUACUGUAUUGAAAACAUUGACUAUAAAAAUAUUGACUACUAACAAACUGACUACAAAUAAAGAUAGAAUUGCAUAAAAUGAAUUUACAGUAGCAACAUUGUCGGAAAUUAAAUCCCAUCACUUAUCUAACAUAAACGGGCUGGCAAAACAUUGGAUAAGCGAGAAUGUUGAAUAAGGAGGGAUUAAGAAAAAAGCCUAUUCAACAUCAAAUUACAUUAUGAUUUUACAAAUUAAGCACCAAAAACAUCAUCUUUUACAUCAAAUUGACAGAAAAAGCAGUUCAGUACACAGUAAUGUUAUGUAGUAAUUACUGUAUUUACGAAUUUAGCACCAAAACAUUGCAACAUUGACUCCAAAACAUUGACUACUAAAAGGCAGACUGCCUUGGAUAAUACAGAACAUUGGAUAAGUGAUGCUUGGAUAAGUGAGACUCUACUGCAGCAAAUGGCACAGUGUGUUAAAGCGCUGAGCUGCUGAACUUGCGGACCAAAAGGUCCUAGGUUCAAAUCCCAGGAACAGAAUGAGCACCCACUAUUAGCCCCAGUUCCUGCCAACCUAGCAGUUCGAAAACAUGCAAAUGUGUGUAGAUCAAUAGGUACUGCUCCGGCGGGAAGGUAACGGCGCUCCAUGCAGUCAUGCCGGCCACAUGACCUUGGAGGUGUCUAUGGACAACGCCGCUCUUUGGCUUAGAAAUGGAGAUGAGCACCAACCACCAGAGUCAGGUCACGACUGGACUUAAUAUCAGGGGGAAACCUUUACCUUUACCUACUGUAGCGAACUUAAUAAACAUGAUUUAGACCAGGGAUCCCCAAACUAAGGCCUGGGGGCCGGAUGCAGCCCUCCAAGGUCAUUUACCUAGCCCCUGCCCUCAGUUUUAUAAUAUAAUAUUUUUAUAUCAGUUUUAAUAAUAUAAUAUUGUAUAUACAUAUAAUAUUGAUAGAAAUAUUAUAAUGUAAUACAAUGUAAUACUAAUAAUAAUACUAUAUAAUAUUAUUAAUUAUAUAUUAUAUAUUACAUGUAAUAUUACUAAUAAUAUUACAAUAUAGUGGUAUAAUUCAAUAUAGUAAUAUAUAAUGCUAAUAUUGUUCUAUGCUAAUAAUAUAAUAUAUUGAAUAUAGAUAUAAAUUGUAAGCCGCUCUGAGUCCCCUUCGGGGUGAGAAAGACAGAAUAUAAAUGUAGUAAAUAAAUAAAUAAUAAAUAAAUAAAUUUUUGACUUAGGCUUGCCCAAAAUCUGAAAUGACUUGAAGGCACACAACAACAAUAAUCCUAAUUAACUUGACUAUCUCAUUGGCCAGAAGCAGGUCCACACUUCUCAUUGAAAUCCUGAUCGGUUUGAGUUGGUUUAAAUUGUUUUUAUUUUUAAAUAUUGUAUUUUUCUUUCAUCGUUGUUGUAGCUUUUGCACUACAAAUAAGACAUAUGCAGUGUGAAUA